rnacentral:rRNA from 1 species
CUUUCAACAACGGAUCUCUUGGUUCCGGCAUUGAUGAAGAAAGCAGCGAAAUGCGAUAAGUAAAGUGAAGUGCAGAAUUCAGUGAAUCAUCGAAUCUUUGAAAGCACAUUGCGCCCCNUGGUAUUCCGGGGGGCAUGCCUGUUCGAGCGUCAUUG